CUUGUCUCAAAGAUUAAGCCAUGCAUGUCUAAGUACAAGCCUCAGUAAGGUGAAACCGCGAAUGGCUCAUUAAAUCACACCUAAUCUACUGGAAAGUUACUAGUUACUUGGAUAACUGAGGUAAUUCUUGAGCUAAUACAUGCGAAAAAUCUCGACUCACGGAGAGAUGCUUUUAUUAGAUACAGAAUCAAUACGUGUUCUGCACGUUCUAUUGAUGAAUCAUAAUAACUGUUCGAAUCGCACGGGCAACCGGCGAUAGUUCAUUCAAAUUUCUGCCCUAUCAGCUUUCGACGGUAGUGUAGUGGACUACCGUGGCGUUAACGGGUAACGGAGAAUUAGGGUUCGAUUCCGGAGAGGGAGCCUGAGAAACGGCUACCACAUCCAAGGAAGGCAGCAGG
rnacentral:rRNA from 1 species